UACGUAGGGAGCAAGCGUUGUCCGGAUUUAUUGGGCGUAAAGAGCUCGUAGGCGGUUUGUCGCGUCUGCUGUGAAAACCCGAGGCUCAACCUCGGGCCUGCAGUGGGUACGGGCAGACUAGAGUGCGGUAGGGGAGAUUGGAAUUCCUGGUGUAGCGGUGGAAUGCGCAGAUAUCAGGAGGAACACCAAUGGCGAAGGCAGAUCUCUGGGCCGUAACUGACGCUGAGGAGCGAAAGCAUGGGGAGCGAACAGG
rnacentral:rRNA from 1 species